GGCAUGGUGGCCAAGUGGUAAGCUGUUGCUUUUAUAAACUGAAGAUCAUAGGUUGGACCCCCAUCUGUGCUU